UACGAAAGGUGCGAGCGUUAAUCGGAAUUACUGGGCGUAAAGCGCGCGUAGGCGGUGUGUUAAGUCGGAUGUGAAAGCCCAGGGCUCAACCUUGGAACUGCAUCCGAUACUGGCACGCUAGAGUGCAGUAGAGGGAGGUGGAAUUUCCGGUGUAGCGGUGAAAUGCGUAGAGAUCGGAAGGAACACCAGUAGCGAAGGCGGCCUCCUGGACUGACACUGACGCUGAGGUGCGAAAGCGUGGGGAGCAAACAGG
rnacentral:rRNA from 1 species